CUGAGGGGCCGCCAGUGGCUUUAGAUCUGCGGCGCCUCUUGCUUGCUCAGUGAACUGGGCUAGUUCAAAUCGACUUUGAGAGAAGACAAAGCUCUUGUUUAAUCUAAUAAUUUUUUAAGGAGCAUAUACAGAAGGUAAGCCGUCCCCACCCAAAAAAA